UUUGGCAGCAAACACAUUCAAGCAUCUUCUAUGUGCCAAGAACUUGCUGGAAAACAUCACAAAAGUUAAUAUUUUCUGGAGAUCAAGGAAUGAAACUCAGCCCUCUGCAAAUGGAACACAAACGCCUGGUACAUGGAUGCUACAAUGAAAAGAAUAUGGGUGCUGAAAUCAGAGAGAAUCAUCCAAGUUUGAGCUCUGUCAAUGGGACAGUCCUGGGCAGGAGACUGGGGAGAAGAGGCGGCUUGCUGGUUUUCCUGAACCACUUCCACCCUGAAAGACUCCUUGCAUACAAUCAUCAGAGAAGAACCGUGGGAACCAAGAACCAUGAGCAGGAGAACCAUGAGCAGUAAGCACCUACAGGGACUGUGGAAAUGGGAGAGACACUUGGACAGAAAAGCAGCUGAAGAUGGGAUGAGAAAGCAGACAAAGGAGGGAAGUGCUUCUGAACAGAGUGCCAG
rnacentral:lncRNA from 1 species